rnacentral:lncRNA from 1 species
CUUCCUUAGUUUUUACUUUGGAAUCUUAAUCUUCGCAAGAUAUGCAAUAUUUACUGUUGUUAGUAUCAAACUACCAAAUAAGAUGACACCUUAUUAGUUUCAAAAUAGUUUCAUCAAGUAUGAACUAUAUGAGUUUCACAAAUAUAUCUAAUCCGAUUUAAUAUAAAUCUCUAAAAUUGUCGUGCAUAUCAUGUUCAUACGCACAGAGAAAAAUUUUGUGUUCCCUUUGCAAAAUCUUUUGGAUUCACUAUAUUAUAGUAGUGCUUGAUAAAAAAUUAAUAUGCAGAUGCAAUC